rnacentral:rRNA from 1 species
AGUUAAGUGACUAAGCGCACAAGGUGGAUGCCUUGGCAAUCAGAGGCGAAGAAGGACGUGCUAAUCUGCGAAAAGCUUGGAUGAGUCGAUAAGAGGCGUUUAAUCCAAGAUGUCCGAAUGGGGAAACCCAGUAGGUGAAGAACCUACUAUCACCCAGUGAAUACAUAGCUGUGUGAGGCAAACCGGGAGAACUGAAACAUCUAAGUACCCCGAGGAAAAGAAAUCAACCGAGAUUUCGUUAGUAGCGGCGAGCGAACGCGAAAGAGCCAGUUAGUGAUAGCAGUAAAGUUAGGGGAAUGUUCUGGGAAGGACAAUCGUAGAGGGUGAUAAUCCCGUACCUUAAAACUCCAUUGUGGUACUAGGCUAACAACAAGUAGGGCGGGACACGUGAUAUCCUGUUUGAAGAUGGGGGGACCAUCCUCCAAGGCUAAAUACUCCUGAUUGACCGAUAGUGAACCAGUACUGUGAAGGAAAGGCGAAAAGAACCCCGGCGAGGGGAGUGAAAUAGAACCUGAAACCUUGUGCGUACAAGCAGUGGGAGCAAGAGUAAUCUUGUGACUGCGUACCUUUUGUAUAAUGGGUCAGCGACUUAUAUUUUGUAGCAAGGUUAACUGAAUAAGGGAGCCGUAGGGAAACCGAGUCUUAACUGGGCGUGUAGUUGCAAGGUAUAGACCCGAAACCCGGUGAUCUAGCUAUGGGCAGGUUGAAGGUUGGGUAACACUAACUGGAGGACCGAACCGACUAAUGUUGAAAAAUUAGCGGAUGACUUGUGGCUGGGGGUGAAAGGCCAAUCAAACCGGGAGAUAGCUGGUUCUCCCCGAAAUCUAUUUAGGUAGAGCCUUGAG